rnacentral:rRNA from 1 species
GUGGGGAAUAUUGGACAAUGGGCGCAAGCCUGAUCCAGCCAUGCCGCGUGAGUGAUGAAGGCCUUAGGGUUGUAAAGCUCUUUCACCGGUGAAGAUAAUGACGGUAACCGGAGAAGAAGCCCCGGCUAACUUCGUGCCAGCAGCCGCGGUAAUACGAAGGGGGCUAGCGUUGUUCGGAAUUACUGGGCGUAAAGCGCACGUAGGCUGAUAUUUAAGUAAGGGGUGAAAUCCCGGGGCUCAACCCCGGAACUGCCUUUGAUACUGGGUAUCUUGAGUAUGGAAGAGGUCAGUGGAAUUGCGAGUGUAGAGGUGAAAUUCGUAGAUAUUCGGAAGAACACCAGUGGCGAAGGCGACUCGCUGGACAGGUAUUGACGCUGAAGUGCGAAAGCGUGAGGAGCAAACAGGAUUAGAAACCCCGGUAGUCC